UACGUAGGUGGCAAGCGUUGUCCGGAUUUACUGGGCGUAAAGGAUGCGUAGGCGGACAUUUUAAGUCAGAUGUGAAAUACCCGAGCUUAACUUGGGUGCUGCAUUUGAAACUGGGUGUCUAGAGUGCAGGAGAGGUAAGUGGAAUUCCUAGUGUAGCGGUGAAAUGCGUAGAGAUUAGGAAGAACACCAGUGGCGAAGGCGACUUACUGGACUGUAACUGACGCUGAGGCAUGAAAGCGUGGGGGAGCAAACAGG
rnacentral:rRNA from 1 species